rnacentral:rRNA from 1 species
GAUGAACGCUGGCGGCGUGCCUAAUACAUGCAAGUCGAGCGAACGGACGAGAAGCUUGCUUCUCUGAUGUUAGCGGCGGACGGGUGAGUAACACGUGGAUAACCUACCUAUAAGACUGGGAUAACUUCGGGAAACCGGAGCUAAUACCGGAUAAUAUUUUGAACCGCAUGGUUCAAAAGUAAAAGACGGUCUUGCUGUCACUUAUAGAUGGAUCCGCGCUGCAUUAGCUAGUUGGUAAGGUAACGGCUUACCAAGGCAACGAUGCAUAGCCGACCUGAGAGGGUGAUCGGCCACACUGGAACUGAGACACGGUCCAGACUCCUAAGGGAGGCAGCAGUAGGGAAUCUUACGCAAUGGGCGAAAGCCUGACGGAGCAACGCCGCGUGAGUGAUGAAGGUCUUCGGAUCGUAAAACUCUGUUAUUAGGGAAGAACAUAUGUGUAAGUAACUGUGCACAUCUUGACGGUACCUAAUCAGAAAGCCACGGCUAACUACGUG